GAUGCUCUCUCAGGAUUGAAGAAACAUGGUAUGUGCUUCUAAGAAGUCAAAAUUGAUUUCUGAAAUUUCAAGCAUUAUCUCACAUAUUUUACUCACAUAUAUGGUUCCAGAUCUCUAAUGUAGCUGGCUCCUAUGUUACAUAAAGUCCUGAAAAAUUGGUUUAAAUGCACAAAAGGUUGAAAGACCAUUCAUACUUUUUAAAAUGGAAAGAGUAUUGGUUUUAUUUUCUACUUUACAAUGUCUGCACAAAACUUGCUACAGAGUCAACAUUACAAUGAAUUUCACAGUUGUUAAGAUCACAAUGAACUUGUAAGCAAACUCUAAAGAAAAAGACUGAAGCACUAUGGAUCAUUAUUU
rnacentral:lncRNA from 1 species